CGUCACGGAAGCGCCCGAGCAGCGGGGAAGCCGCCAGUGGCAGAGACUAGAGCUGGCGAGAGACGGGGAAGGAGGGAGAGACGGGAGACGGGAGACGGACACGAGACCGGAGGACAAGCCCGACCCGAAAAAGACAGAGAGACACACCAGCGCCGCGCCCUCGGCCGGCCGUCGGUUUACGCUACGAAGCGUCGCUCGGACGUUUGACAGCAGCACGACAGAUUAGGUGCAGAGCCCCCCCCCCGCCUCCCCCCGAGCCCCCUCCCACUCCCCCAGCGAGGCGUGUGUUACCUCGAUCACAUCACAACGAGCCCGACAGAAAGCGAGAGUCACGGAGAUCCCUUCACCCCGAGCCUCUUGGAUUUACUUCAUCCAAAAGGAAGUCCCAUCGAUUCCCGCUUUCCGACAAAGCACAUUAAUUCCAGUGAGCUUUUUUCUUUUGGAAAGGCCUUAAUCAC
ensembl:lncRNA